rnacentral:ncRNA from 1 species
UAAUUAUUGAGUUUGAUGAUGGCUCUGAUUGAACGCUGUCCAAGUACUUGACACAUGCUAAUCGUACGACUUUAUUUAUUUUUUAAGUAAAGUAGUGGUGUACAGGUGAGUAAAUGAUAAUUUGGCUACCUUAAAGUAAGAGUAAAUCUCUUAUAAAAAAAAAGGAAAUCAAAAUUCUGCUUUAAGAUGUUAAUCUUUAUCUCGGUGAAGUAGUAGAAGAGGUAAUGUCUCUUUCUAGCUAACACUCGUAGUCGUGACUGAGAGGUCGAUCGACCACAUUGGGUCUGAAAAAACCCCAAUGCGUAUUAGUACAGCAGUGAGGAAUAUUGGUCAAUGGUCUAACGACUGAACCAGUAACUUGGAAGAAUGUAAAUGUAUUAUAACUAAUACAAUAACGAUUAAUUCGUAUAAAAUUCUAAAUAGGAUAAUGAUAAUGACAAUUUCCUAUUUAUAAGUCUUGACCAAAUUACGUGCCAGCAGUCGCGGUAAUACGUAGAAGACUAGUGUUAGUCAUCUUUAUUAGGUUUAAAGGGUACCUAGACGGUAAAUAACACUUGAGUAGAGUACUUAUUUACUAGAGUUUUAUGUGAGAAGGAAGAACUUCUGGAGUAGUGAUAAAAUACUUUGAUACCAGAGGGACUGGUAACGGCGAAGGCGUCCUUCUAUGUAAAAACUGACGUUGAGGGACGAAGGCUUGGGUAGCAAGAAGGAUUAGAUACCCUAGUAGUCAAGCAGAAAUGAUGAUGUCAUAGACUAGAUAACAAAUUAGUCUAUAAAUGAAAGUGUAAGCAU